CAGUCGCCACGGUAAAACGGAGGGGGCUAGCGUUGUUCGGAAUUACUGGGCGUAAAGCGCACGUAGGCGGCUUGGUAAGUUAGAGGUGAAAGCCUGGAGCUCAACUCCAGAAUUGCCUUUAAGACUGCCGAGCUAGCAGGUGAGAGAGGUAAGUGGAAUUCCGAGUGUAGAGGUGAAAUUCGUAGAUAUUCGGAAGAACACCAGUGGCGAAGGCGGCUUACUGGCUCAUACUGGACGCUGAGGUGCGAAAGCGUGGGGAGCAAACAGGAUUAGAUACCCCAGUAGUCCCUGUCUCUUAUAC
rnacentral:rRNA from 1 species